CUUAUGUUUGUUUACAGUACAGGUUGGUUUGUUUACAUGUAUGUUAGUGUACAUGUAUGCUUGUUUACAGUACAUGUUGGUUUGUUUACAUGUAUGUUAGUGUACACAUAUGUUUGUUUACAGUACAUGUUGGUUUGUUUACAUAUAUGUAUGUCAGUGUACAUGUAUGUUUGUUUACAGUACAUGUUGGUUUGUUUACAUGUGUGUAUGUCAGUGUACACGUAUGUUUGUUUACAGUACAUGUUGGUUUGUUUACAUGUAUGUUAGUGUACACAUAUGUUUGUUUACCACUUGUUUAAAUGUAUGCUUUACAUGCAGUUUCACAUUUCAGCCCUGUUGACCCCUAGAACAUAUUAGCCCUGUUGACCCCUAGAACAUAUCAGCCCUGUUGACCCCUAGAACAUAUUAGCCCUGUUGACCCCUAGAACAUAUCAGCCUUGUUGGCCCCUAGAACAUAUCAGCCCUGUUGGUCCCUAGAACAUAUCAGCCCUGUUGGUCCCUAGAACAUAUCAGCCCUGUUGAACAUAUCAGCCCUGUUGGUCCCUAGAACAUAUCAGCCCUGUUGGUCCCUAGAACAUAUCAGCCCUGUUGGUCCCUAGAACAUAUCAGCCCUGUUGGCCCCUAGAACAUAUCAGCCCUGUUGGUCCCUAGAACAUAUCAGCCCUGUUGGACAUAUCAGCCCUGUUGGUCCCUAGAACAUAUCAGCCCUGUUGGUCCCUAGAACAUAUCAGCCCUGUUGGUCCCUAGAACAUAUCAGCCCUGUUGGUCCCUAGACCAUAUCAGCCCUGUUGGACAUAUCAGCCCUGUUGGUCCCUAGACCAUAUCAGCCCUGUUGGACAUAUCAGCACUGUUGGCCCCUAGAACACAUCAGAUUGGUCUGGGGAAUGAACAGGGGGGGGGGAUCUUGGUCUGAAUCUCCAUGGAAACAUCAUCUCCUCUUCUGGUUACCGUAGAAACACCAUGGUGAGCAGACCUUAGAGACAAAUAAAUAAGAGUUACACACACGCACACGCGCGCACACACACACGCACAGAUGUCUUACCCAGUGUGUAGGCGCACACCAAUUUCUGUGUGACAGUCACAUGGGCAUAGCUAGGAACCAAGUUGUUGGGCUCAGAGUGGAGGGGGAGCAUUAAGAA
ensembl:lncRNA